AGAGUUUGAUCCUGGCUCAGGACGAACGCUGGCGGCGUGCCUAAUACAUGCAAGUCGAGCGGGGUUGUCGGAGUGGAGUCCUUCGGGAUGAAGCACCGUCAACCUAGCGGCGGACGGGUGAGUAACGCGUGGGUAACCUGCCCUAAAGCCCGGGAUAACACCGGGAAACUGGUGCUAACACCGGAUACCUUCCGAAGAGGGCAUCCUUUUUGGAAGAAAGGUUAACGCUUUAGGAUGGGCCCGCGUCCCAUUAGCUAGUUGGUGAGGUAACGGCUCACCAAGGCAGUGAUGGGUAGCCGGCCUGAGAGGGUGGACGGCCACACUGGGACUGAGACACGGCCCAGACUCCUACGGGAGGCAGC
rnacentral:rRNA from 1 species